UAACAUCUGACCAAAUGUUUACAGCUGUACCCAUCUCACCAGUUCCAGCUCUGAAUGAUUUUCUAACAUGCCAGACUGUUGAUGAUUUACCAUCUUCUGUGGAGAGUAUCUGGAAAAGGAGACUGGAGCAGGUUCACCAGAGAAAUGAGGAGUUAGCACUUUCUAGUGCUACUGUUCAUGCCAGCCUACCUGUACCUGUACUUGCACA